CGCUGGCGGCGUGCCUAAUACAUGCAAGUCGAACGGUCUUUCUAUGGAAGCUUGCUUCCACUGAGAAGAUAGUGGCGAACGGGUGAGUAACACGUGGGGUAACCUGCCCAUAAGAGGGGGAUAACAUCCGGAAACGGGUGCUAAUACCGCAUAGUUUUCUUGGUCGCAUGAUCGGGAAAGGAAAGACGGCCUUUGUGCUGUCGCUUAUGGAUGGACCCGCGGCGUAUUAGUUAGUUGGUGAGGUAACGGCUCACCAAGACGAUGAUACGUAGCCGACCUGAGAGGGUGAUCGGCCACAUUGGGACUGAGACACGGCCCAAACUCCUACGGGAGGCAGCAGUAGGGAAUCUUGCACAAUGGGGGAAACCCUGAUGCAGCCAACGCCGCGUGAGUGAUGACGGCCUUCGGGUUGUAAAGCUCUGUCUUCAGGGACGAUAAUGACGGUACCUGAGGAGGAAGCCACGGCUAACUACGUGCCAGCAGCAGC
rnacentral:rRNA from 1 species